rnacentral:lncRNA from 1 species
UUUUUUUUUGGCUUUUUGGGGCUGAACCCACGGCAUAUGGACAUUCCCAGGGAAGGGGUCAAACCAGGGCCAUAGCUGCCAGCAUACAUCACAGCCACAGCAACACAGGAUCCAAGCUGCAUCUGCGACCUACACCACAGCUCACGGCAACAUCGGAUCCUAUACCCACUGAGAGAGGCCAGGGAUCAAACCUGCAAACUCAUGGUUACUAGUUGGAUUCGUUUCCACUGCACUACGAUGGGAACUCCUACAUCUGCUUCUUUUUAAAUGAUUUUCUUCUACAUCUGUCUCUUUCAAAUUUUUUUUAGUGAUUUUUAUUUUUUCCAUUAUAGUUGGUUUAGUGGUCUGUCAAUUUNAUAUGGGGGUUCCCAGGCUAGGGGUUGAAUCGGAGCUGUAGCCACCAGCCUACGCCAAAGCCACAGCAACGCUGGAUCUGAGCCGAGUCUGCAACCUACACCACAGCUCAUGGCAACGCUGGAUCGUUAACCCAUUGAGCAAGGCCAGGGAUUGAACCAGCAACCUCAUGGUUCCUAGUCGGGUUCGUUAACCACUUGCGCCACGACGGGAACUCCUCAAUUUUCUACUUUACAGCAAAGUGACCCAGCCUGCCUCUCUCUCUCUCUCUCUCUCUCUCUCUCUCUCUCACACACACACACACACACACACACACACACAUUCUUUUUCUCACAUUAUCCUCCAUCAUGUUCCAUCAAAAAUGACUGGAUAUAGUUCCCAGUGCUAUACAGCAGGAUCUCAUUGCUUAUCCACUCCAAAUGCAAUAGUUUGCAUCUAUUAACCCCAGAUUCCAAGUCUAUCCCACUCCCUUCCCUCUCUCCCCCCACCUUGGCAACCACAACUCCAUUUUCCAAGUCCAAAUUUUCUUUUCUGUGGAAAGGUUCAUUUGUGCUGUAUAUUAGAUUUCGGAUGUAAGUGAUAUCAUAUGGUAUUUACCUUUCUCUUUCUGACUUACUUCACUUAGUAUGAGAAUUUCUAGUUCCAUCCAUGUUGCUGCAAAUGGCAUUAUUUCAUUUUUUUAUGGCUGAGUAGUAUUCCAUUGUGUAUAUAUAUCACAUCUUCUCUUUUUUUGUCUUUUAGGGCCACAUCUGCAGCAUAUGGAGUUUCCCAGGCUAUGGGUCAAAAAGGAGCUAUAGCUGCUGGCUUAUGCCACAGCUAACAGCUCAAUUUUUUUUAAUACAUUCUAUGUUAUCUCUACAAGGCAGAGAAAAUAAGGUGUAUAAAGACUGGUUAUGAUAAAAACUAAUGCUCAAAGAAAAUCUGCACCCUUUUUUCCUUUGGCCUCAUUAACCCUAGAGUAGCCCUUCAGGUCACUUAUAGCAAAGUACCUACUAGUUUCAAAAUCAACCUCAACUCUAUAAAAUUCCUAGGAUAAGUAAUCCAAUUAUUCAAAUAUAAACACAGGAUAAAGAAGCAUAAGACAAAACUAUCUCCCAAAGUAUCAAGAAAUCUACCUCCAAAUGAACUACUAGAAUAAUAUUUUCUCACAUUCCAAGCCAUUCUGUCCUUUUACCAGAAAUUAUAUGAUUUAAAAAUCCAUCUUCUUAGCUUUUAUCCAUGCACACCCAGAGAAAUUCACAUGUACAAAGUCAUGUACAAAGAUGUCUAUCACUAUAUUGACUGUGAUAUGGAGGAGCUGGAAGCAGUCUGGAUUUCCACUGCUGGAAGAACUAACAAGUAAAAUGUAGUACACGAAUCACACAGUAGUAAUGGUUGCACAACUCUGUGAAUGUACUAAAAAUCACUGGAAUGUUAACUUCAAAGGAGUAAAUUUUAUGGUAUGUAAUAUCUCAAUAAAGUUAUUUUGUUUUGUUUUGUUUUUUAAACAAAUGGCCACACCUGCGGCAUAUGGAAGUUCCCGGGCUAGGGGUUGAGCCACAGCCACUGUAGAAGCAAUGCCGAGUAGGUAUGUUGUGAGCCACAUGGGAAGUCCUGUAAUAUCUCAAUAAAGUUAUUAUCAAGCAUACACAGGGGAUGGAUAUUCUGGGACACUAUGAAGCAGUAAGAAGCAAUUUUAUAUACUUAAAGUACAUAAAGGCAACAUAUAAGUCUUGAAAACCUGGUGUCAAGUUCAAAGUAAAUACAACAAUACGGAAAGAUCUUCAAAACCCAGUAUUAAAUUAUACAAUAAAAGAAAAUAAGAGUCUCAAUAAUUCUCCGUUCAUUCUCACAAGUCCCCCCUCUAUGUUUGCCUUUGUGAUCAAACGGACCAUGACAACUUUAAGGAACAUGUUCAUCUUGGAGAGCAAAGUAUCUCAGCUUCUACAAAACAAAGAUAAGAGCUCAACACCGCCGAAUGUUACACUGGGUACCAGAAACGCAUUCCUCAAUGUGAUUGAAAGAAUGAGAGUAAGAACAGAGAGAAGACUAUCAUCCCUAAUUCUGAUAUCUGUAAGAAAGUCUACAACAAAGGAAUCUACUGUUAACCUUCUUCUGGGAAAAUAAGGUCAUUUGGUUCCUUAAAGAACUUGGGUCUCAAGGCUAAUGGAAGAGGACAAGGAACAAAGAAUAGGUAUUCUAUUCAGCAACCUAGAACAGAACAGUCAUUCUCAUCUUUGCCAUUUUCCAAACUAUUUGCUCCCAAUCUCCAUUCAUUCAAUAAUUACUCAUUCAGCAUAUAUUCUAUUCAAUGCACUCUCUGCAGGUACUAGGGAUAUGUCAUGAACAAGCAAGAGUCCUUGACCUUAAGCAGCUUAUAUACUGUGAGGGAAGACAGACAACAAAUAAGAAAAUUGUAAUUUAAAUUUAAAUUUACAUAUAAGUGCCAUGAAAAAUAAGCAGUUAGAAAGGUGAGGGGAAGCUGCUUUCAGGAGAUAGUAAGGCGUUCUCUCAGGAUAUGACAGGGAAUUAAGAACUAUAUAAGGAGAAAAUGCCAGCCAACAAAAAAACCUGGGGGAAUAGAUUUCCAAGCAAACAGAAAUGCAAAUGUUGAGGCUAUAAAGGAGUAACAAGCUUCAAGUAUUUUACAGACAAAAAGAAAUCCAUUGUCAAGAAUGAGAAGAAAGAAUAGAUGAACUCAGAAAGGUAGCGGCUUUGUGAGGCCUUUGAAUUAUAUCUGGGAUGCAAUGACAAGCAGGGAGAGUUUUCCAGAAAUUUUAAGCAGAAGAUGGACAAGCUCUAAGUUGCAUUUCCAAUGACUCUGACCACUGUGUGAAAAACAGACUAUCUGAGAGGACAAGAAUAGGGAGAUAUAAACCAGUUAGGCUCUUCAGACAGCUCGGGCAAGAGAUGUCAGGGCUCAGACUCUGAUUAUGACUUGGUA